AUCUAAAGCUAAAUACCGGCCAGAGACCGAUAGCGCACAAGUAGAGUGAUCGAAAGAUGAAAAGCACUUUGGAAAGAGAGUUAAACAGCACGUGAAAUUGUGAAAGGGAAGCGCUUGCCGCCAGACCUGCCCGCGGGCGUUCACCCGCCAUUCGUGGCGGGGCACUCGCCCGCGAUCAGGCCAGCACGGGUUCGGGCGGCGGGAGAAAGGGCCCGGGAAUGUAGCUCCCUUCGGGGUGCCUUAUAGCCCGGGCUGCCAUGCCGCCCGCCCGGACCGAGGACCGCGCUUCGGCUAGGGUGCUGGCGUAAUGGCGGUAAGCGACCCGUCUUGAAACACGGACCAAGGAGUCUAACAUCCACGCGAGUGUUUGGGCGUCAAACCCAGGCGCGGAAUGAAAGUGAACGGAGGUGGGAACCCCGCGAGGGGCGCACCAUCGACCGAUCCCGAUGUCUUCGGAUGGAUUUGAGUACGAGCGUGGCUGUUGGGACCCGAAAGAUGGUGAACUAUGCCUGAAUAGGGUGAAGCCAGAGGAAACUCUGGUGGAGGCUCGCAGCGGUUCUGACGUGCAAAUCGAUCGUCAAAUUUGGGCAUAGGGGCGAAAGACUAAUCGAACCAUCUAGUAGCUGGUUCCUGUCGAAGUUUCCCUCAGGAUAGCAGUAACGUUUUCAGUUUUAUGAGGUAAAGCGAAUGAUUAGAGGCCUUGGGGUUGAAACAACCUUAACCUAUUCUCAAACUUUAAAUAUGUAAGAAGUCCUUGUUUCUUCGUUGAACGUGGACAUUUGAAUGCACCGUUACUAGUGGGCCAUUUUUGGUAAGCAGAACUGGCGAUGCGGGAUGAACCGAACGCGAGGUUAAGGUGCCGGAAUGUACGCUCAUCAGACACCACAAAAGAUGUCAAUUCAUCUGGACAGCCGGACGGUGGCCAUGGAAGCCGGAAUCCGCUAAGGAGUGCGUAACAGCUCACCGGCCGAAUGAAUUGGCUCUGAAAAUGGAUGGCGCUCAAGCGUGCUACC
rnacentral:rRNA from 1 species